rnacentral:rRNA from 1 species
UACGUAGGGUGCGAGCGUUAAUCGGAAUUACUGGGCGUAAAGCGUGCGCAGGCGGUUUUGUAAGGCAGAUGUGAAAUCCCCGGGCUUAACCUGGGAAUGGCAUUUGGGACUGCAAGGCUCGAGUGCGGCAGAGGAGACUGGAAUUCCUGGUGUAGCAGUGAAAUGCGUAGAUAUCUGGAGGAAUACCGGUGGCGAAGGCGGAUCUCUGGGCCUUACCUGACGCUGAGGCGCGAAAGCUAGGGGAGCGAACAGG